rnacentral:rRNA from 1 species
GUGGUCAAGCUAAUAAGGGCUCAUGGUGGAUACCUAGGCACACAGAGGCGAAGAAGGACGUGGUUACCUGCGAAAAGUUCCGGGGAGUUGGAAGCAAACAGAGAGCCGGAAAUAUCCGAAUGGGGCAACCCUGAAAACUGCCUGUUGAAUAUAUAGACAGGAAAGAGCGAACCUGGCGAAUUGAAACAUCUUAGUAGCCAGAGGAAAAGAAAUCAAAAGAGAUUCCCCGAGUAGCGGUGAGCGAAAGGGGAAGAGCCUAAACCAAGGGGUAUACCUCUUGGGGUAGUGGGACAGCAACAUCGAAUCCAGAGACUAGACGAAGCAGCUAAAUACUGCACCAGAGGGGGUGAAAGUCCUGUAGUCGAAAGUCAAAGGAUAG